rnacentral:rRNA from 1 species
UACGUAGGGGGCAAGCGUUGUCCGGAUUUAUUGGGCGUAAAGAGCGUGUAGGCGGCCAGGUAGGUCUGCUGUGAAAACUCGAGGCUCAACCUCGAGACGUCGGCGGAAACCAUCUGGCUAGAGUCCGGAAGAGGAGAGUGGAAUUCCUGGUGUAGCGGUGGAAUGCGCAGAUAUCAGGAGGAACACCGAUGGCGAAGGCAGGUCUCUGGGCCACUACUGACGCUGAGAAGCGAAAGCAUGGGGAGCGAACAGG